rnacentral:rRNA from 1 species
UACGUAGGGUGCAAGCGUUGUCCGGAAUUAUUGGGCGUAAAGAGCUCGUAGGCGGUCUGUCGCGUCGGCUGUGAAAUCCCGAGGCUCAACCUCGGGUCUGCAGUCGAUACGGGCAAACUAGAGUAUUGCAGGGGAGACUGGAAUUCCUGGUGCAGCGGUGAAAUGCGUAGAUAUCGAGAGGAACACCUGCGGCGAAGGCGGGUUGCUGGGCCGACACUGACGCUGAGGCGCGAAAGCCAGGGGAGCGAACGGG